CAGGCACAGUCCUCUGUUGUAAAGGAGGGAAGGCUUUCCCACCUCGCAUGAGCAAAGAGCAAGCAGCUUACUUACCUAAGAAAAAAGGGCAGGAUUUGAUUCAGAAACUCGUGGAUAGAGUGGUUGGUUUGGGGCAUCGGAUGAGGGAUUAGCUUCAUUGAACUGAAAGGACUGGUCGAAAGCUAAAGCAGUACGAGGAAAUCAGAGAAAAAGGGCAAGUAGGUCGGCUUCAAAAAGGGCUAGGGUUGCUUUCUCUGUUGGUUGAAUUUGCCACUAGGUGGAAUCAGAUCGAAAAGACUUUCCUCUGAGUGGAUAUGUGGAAGUACGCUAUGAUGAUCC
rnacentral:lncRNA from 1 species